AAAAACAUCGCCUCCUGCCCACACCACAUAGGAGGUCCCGCCUGCCCAGUGACCAAAAGUUUAACGGCCGCGGUAUUUUAACCGUGCAAAGGUAGCGCAAUCAAUUGUCUUUUAAAUGAAGACCUGUAUGAAUGGCAUAACGAGGGUUUAACUGUCUCUUUCUCCUGGUCAGUGAAACUGAUCUACCCGUGCAGAAGCGGGUAUGAAUAUACAAGACGAGAAGACCCUAUGGAGCUUUAGACGCCCACCAAUCACGAAAAGCAGGUCUCGCUCAACACACCCCCAAACAACGUGAUACUGGCACAAACGUCUUCGGUUGGGGCGACCGCGGGAGAGAAAAAAGCUCCCGAGAGGAUUGGGGCUACCCUAAAACCAAGAGCUACACCUCUAAGUCACAAAACAUUUGACCAAAAAUGAUCCGGCUACAUGCCGAUUAACGAACCAAGUUACCCUAGGGAUAACAGCGCAAUCCCUUCCCAGAGUCCAUAUCGACGAAGGGGUUUACGACCUCGAUGUUGGAUCAGGACAUCCUAAUGGUGCAGCCGCUAUUAAGGGUUCGUUUGUUCAACGAUUAAAGU
rnacentral:rRNA from 1 species